rnacentral:misc_RNA from 1 species
GAUGAAGAACGUAGCGAAAUGCGAUAAGUAAUGUGAAUUGCAGAAUUCAGUGAAUCAUCGAAUCUUUGAACGCACAUUGCGCCCGCCAGUAUUCUGGCGGGCAUGCCUGUUCGAGCGUCAUUACAACCCUCAGGCCCCCGGGCCUGGCGUUGGGGAUCGGCGGAAGCCCCCUGCGGGCACAACGCCGUCCCCCAAAUACAGUGGCGGUCCCGCCGCAGCUUCCAUUGCGUAGUAGCUAACACCUCGCAACUGGAGAGCGGCGCGGCCACGCCGUAAAACACCCAACUUCUGAAUGUUGACCUCGUAUCAGGUAGGAAUACCCGCUGAACUUAAGCAUAUCAAUAAGCGGAGGA